GACAGAGGGUGCAAACGUUGUUCGGAGUUACUGGGCGUAAAGCGCGGGCAGGCGGCCUCGCAAGUCUGAUGUGAAAGCACCCGGCUCAACCGGGUGAUGCCAUUGGAAACUACAAGGCUGGAGUCUGGCAGAGGUAGGCGGAAUUCCGGGUGGAGUGGUGAAAUGCGUAGAGAUCCGGAGGAACACCAGAGGCGAAGGCGGCCUACUGGGCCAGUACUGACGCUGAGCCGCGAAAGCCAGGGGAGCGAACGGG
rnacentral:rRNA from 1 species